rnacentral:rRNA from 1 species
GACGUAGGAGGCGAGCGUUGUCCGGAUUCAUUGGGCGUAAAGAGCGCGCAGGCGGCUUGGUAAGUCGGAUGUGAAAACCCGAGGCUCAACCUCGGGCGUGCAUCCGAUACUGCUCGGCUAGAGGUAGGUAGGGGAGAUCGGAAUUCCUGGUGUAGCGGUGAAAUGCGCAGAUAUCAGGAGGAACACCGGUGGCGAAGGCGGAUCUCUGGGCCGUAACCUGACGCUGAGGCGCGAAAGCGUGGGGAGCAAACAGG